UAGAGUUUGAUCCUGGCUCAGGACGAACGCUGGCGGCGCGCCUAACACAUGCAAGUCGAACGAGAGAGAGGGAGCUUGCUUCCUCAAUCGAGUGGCGAACGAGUGAGUAACGCGUGAGGAACCUGCCUCAAAGAGGGGGACAACAGUUGGAAACGACUGCUAAUACCGCAUAAGCCCACGGGUCGGCAUCGACCAGAGGGAAAAGGAGCAAUCCGCUUUGAGAUGGCCUCGCGUCCGAUUAGCUGGUUGGUGAGGUAACGGCCCACCAAGGCGACGAUCGGUAGCCGGACUGAGAGGUUGAACGGCCACAUUGGGACUGAGACACGGCCCAGACUCCUACGGGAGGCAGCAGUGGGGAAUAUUGCACAAUGGGGGAAACCCUGAUGCAGCGACGCCGCGUGGAGGAAGAAGGUCUUCGGAUUGUAAACCGCUUUUGUUGGGGAGCAAGCCUUCGGGUGAGUGUACCCUUCGAAUAAGCACCGGCUAACUACGUGCCAGCAGCCGCGGUAAUACGUAGGGUGCAAGCGUUAUCCGGAAUUAUUGGGCGUAAAGAGCUCGUAGGCGGUUCGUCGCGUCCGGUGUGAAAGUCCAUCGCUUAACGGUGGAUCUGCGCCGGGUACGGGCGGGCUGGAGUGCGGUAGGGGAGACUGGAAUUCCCGGUGUAACGGUGGAAUGUGUAGAUAUCGGGAAGAACACCCAAUGGCGAAGGCAGGUCUCUGGGCCGUUACUGACGCUGAGGAGCGAAAGCGUGGGAAGCGAACAGGAUUAGAUACCCUGGUAGUCCACGCCGUAAACGGUGGAUGCUGGAUGUGGGGCCCAUUCCACGGGUUCCGUGUCGGAGCUAACGCGUUAAGCAUCCCGCCUGGGGAGUACGGCCGCAAGGCUAAAACUCAAAGAAAUUGACGGGGGCCCGCACAAGCGGCGGAGCAUGCGGAUUAAUUCGAUGCAACGCGAAGAACCUUACCUGGGCUUGACAUGUUCCCGACAGCCCCAGAGAUGGGGCCUCCCUUCGGGGCGGGUUCACAGGUGGUGCAUGGUCGUCGUCAGCUCGUGUCGUGAGAUGUUGGGUUAAGUCCCGCAACGAGCGCAACCCUCGCCCCGUGUUGCCAGCACAUGAUGGUGGGAACUCACGGGGGACCGCCGGGGUUAACUCGGAGGAAGGUGGGGAUGACGUCAGAUCAUCAUGCCCCUUACGUCCAGGGCUUCACGCAUGCUACAAUGGCCGGUACAACGGGAUGCGACAUGGCGACAUGGAGCGGAUCCCUGAAAACCGGUCUCAGUUCGGAUUGGAGUCUGCAACCCGACUCCAUGAAGGCGGAGUCGCUAGUAAUCGCGAAUCAGCAACGUCGCGGUGAAUGCGUUCCCGGGCCUUGCACUCACCGCCCGUCAAG
rnacentral:rRNA from 1 species